UACGGGGGGGGCAAGCGUUGUUCGGAAUUACUGGGCGUAAAGGGCUCGUAGGCGGCCAACUAAGUCAUACGUGAAAUCCCUCGGCUUAACCGGGGAACUGCGUCUGAUACUGGAUGGCUUGAGUUCGGGAGAGGGAUGCGGAAUUCCAGGUGUAGCGGUGAAAUGCGUAGAUAUCUGGAGGAACACCGGCGGCGAAGGCGGCAUCCUGGACCGAUACUGACGCUGAGGAGCGAAAGCCAGGGGAGCAAACGGG
rnacentral:rRNA from 1 species